UACAGAGGGGGCAAGCGUUGUUCGGAAUUACUGGGCGUAAAGGGCGCGUAGGCGGCCUGCUAAGUCGAACGUGAAAUCCCUGGGCUCAACCCCAGGAACUGCGUCCGAUACUGGUUGGCUUGAAUCCGGGAGAGGGACGUGGAAUUCCAGGUGUAGCGGUGAAAUGCGUAGAUAUCUGGAGGAACACCGGUGGCGAAGGCGGCUGCCUGGCCUGUUCUUGACGCUGAGGCGCGAAAGCUGGGGGAGCAACGGG
rnacentral:rRNA from 1 species